rnacentral:lncRNA from 1 species
CAGAUGAAGUGGCACUCAGCAGACAUUGGCUUAUACGAAGACUUUUUCAGGGCUCUUCUCCUUCCCUUACACGCCUGAGGCCCCCAUGUUCUCUUGGGAUAUAGUCUACUAUUUGGCCUAGCUCUUCAAGAAAGUGGUUACAGAAAAAAUUGCAGGAGAAAAGAGGAACCCAGUUGCUACCCACGCAGGCAAUCAAUGCACAAAUAUCAAAGGCUGCCUCUGAUCAUAGCAAGACGACUUCACCAGGAGAGGGAGUUUGCAGAGCAGCACUGUUGGUUCAGUCAGCACGAAACUCAAAGAGGUAAGCUCUAAUUUUGAGAGCACAGAUAGUGUGAGGUCAAAUGUUGGAUGGCUGUCAUUU